UUUUGAUUGCUGGCUUCCGGUUUGAGGUAAAAAUGUUUUGAGGUGCGGAUCGCAAAUGGAAGAAUCACAGCGCACAUAAAAACUAAGGGCACUAUCAUCUUUUUGGGGGAUCUCUUGUGCAUUAUAUGAUUGUACCUCACUCUCCUUGUGUGCUCAAUGAAGAUGAAGAUACCCUUAUUUCCUGUAGUGGAUUGGGAAGGGGAGUGAGACCGGUUCUUGCUCGGUAAAAGGCCAGAGAAAUGGUCUUACAUUUACUCCCAGUGUAGAGAUCUUUCUAUGGCGAUGCAUGGGAAUUCCAAUGCCCGAGGUUAUCCAAUUAGUGAUGUCACUGGUGUUAGCAUCAGGCCGUGCAGCUACAUAUUAGAUUUAUGUUUUCUAUGCGUUGUGGCCUCUGAAGAUCGAACUGCAACGAGCUUAGAUGUUAUAACUUUUGUACCUUCUAUUGCUCUCAAAAGGAAACACAAAAUGUCAGUUAUUGUAGUAUAUUUAGCUCUUUCCUUGAUUGUGUAUAAGCAUUGUUGAUCUUUUCCCAAUUUGUGAGUUUAGUUAUAAUUGCACUAUUAA